rnacentral:rRNA from 1 species
AGUGAACGCUGGCGGUAGGCCUAACACAUGCAAGUCGAACGGCAGCACAGUAAGAGCUUGCUCUUACGGGUGGCGAGUGGCGGACGGGUGAGGAAUACAUCGGAAUCUACUUUUUCGUGGGGGAUAACGUAGGGAAACUUACGCUAAUACCGCAUACGACCUACGGGUGAAAGCAGGGGAUCUUCGGACCUUGCGCGAUUGAAUGAGCCGAUGUCGGAUUAGCUAGUUGGCGGGGUAAAGGCCCACCAAGGCGACGAUCCGUAGCUGGUCUGAGAGGAUGAUCGGCCACACUGGAACUGAGACACGGUCCAGACUCCUACGGGAGGCAGCAGUGGGGAAUAUGGGACAAUGGGCGAAAGCCUGAUCCAGCCAUACCGCGUGGGUGAAGAAGGCCUGCGGGUUGUAAAGCCCUUUUGUUGGGAAAGAAAAGCAGCAGGUUAAUACCCCGCUGUUCUGACGGUACCCAAAGAAUAAGCACCGGCUAACUUCGU